rnacentral:rRNA from 1 species
UACGAAGGGGGCUAGCGUUGCUCGGAAUCACUGGGCGUAAAGGGUGCGUAGGCGGGUCUUUAAGUCAGGGGUGAAAUCCUGGAGCUCAACUCCAGAACUGCCUUUGAUACUGAGGAUCUUGAGUUCGGGAGAGGUGAGUGGAACUGCGAGUGUAGAGGUGAAAUUCGUAGAUAUUCGCAAGAACACCAGUGGCGAAGGCGGCUCACUGGCCCGAUACUGACGCUGAGGCACGAAAGCGUGGGGAGCAAACA